GAUGAACGCUGGCGGCGUGCCUAAUACAUGCAAGUCGAGCGAACAGACGCGGAGCUUGCUCCUCUGACGUUAGCGGCGGACGGGUGAGUAACACGUGGAUCACCUACCUAUCAGACUGGGAUAACUUCGGGAAACCGGAGAUAAUACCGGAUAAUAUAUUGCACCGCAUGGUUCAUUAGUGAAAGACGGUUUUGCUGUCACUUAUAGAUGGUUCUGAGCUGGUUUGGCUGGUUGGGAAGGUCACGGCCUUUCAAGGGUACGAUGCGUAGCCGAAUUGACGGGGUGAUCGCCCACAUUGGAACGGGAACGCGGUCCUGGCGCCUGAGGGAGGGAGCAGUAGGGAAUCGUCCGCAAUGGGCGGAAGCCUGACGGAGCGGCGCCGCGUGAGUGAUGGAGGUCUUCGGAUCGUAAAACUCUGUUAUUAGUGAAGAACAAAUUUGUAAGUAACUAUGCACGGCGUGACGGUACCUGGUCAGAAAGCCACGGCUAACUACGUG
rnacentral:rRNA from 1 species